rnacentral:rRNA from 1 species
CACGUAGGGCGCGAGCGUUGUCCGGAAUUAUUGGGCGUAAAGAGCUCGUAGGCGGCCUGUUGCGUCCGCUGUGAAAGCUCGGGGCUUAACCCCGGGUCGGCAGUGGAUACGGGCAGGCUAGAGGUAGGUAGGGGAGAAUGGAAUUCCCGGUGUAGCGGUGAAAUGCGCAGAUAUCGGGAGGAACACCGGUGGCGAAGGCGGUUCUCUGGGCCUGUACUGACGCUGAGGAGCGAAAGCGUGGGGAGCGAACAGG